CAGACUCUCUCCCAAGAAGACCUGGUCCGGCUCCCUUCAGCAAGUCUGCCUCUGGCCGGUGGGAGAGCUACCAAUAUGACAUCAUGGAAUGCAGAGUUGGGAAGAGAUGCACACAUUGGCUUUCACCAGCUGGUACAAGCCUUUAAUGAUUCCAUUAAAGAGGGAGGACCAUGUGAAGACACAGUGAGAAUGUGGCCAUCUACAAGCCAGGAGAGAGCUCUCACCAGAAACCAGACUUGCUGGCACCUUGAUCGUGGACUUCCUGCCUCAGAGAUUGUGAGAAAAUAAAUGUCUGUUGUUUAAGCCAUCUAGUUGGCGGUGUUUUGUUAUGGCAGCCCCAGCAGAGGUUGGGUUGACCAAUGACAGCCAUGUGCCAAAUCCAGCCCAUGGCCUGUUUUUAUAAAUAAAGUUUUAU